CAGCCGCCACGGUAAUACGAGGGGGGCAAGCGUUGUUCGGAAUUAUUGGGCGUAAAGGGUGCGUAGGCGGUUUGACAAGUCUUAUGUGAAAUCUUCGGGCUCAACCCGAAGUCUGCAUGAGAAACUGUUGAGCUUGAGUAUGGGAGAGGUGAGUGGAAUUUCCGGUGUAGCGGUGAAAUGCGUAGAUAUCGGAAGGAACACCUGUGGCGAAAGCGGCUCACUGGACCAUAACUGACGCUGAGGCACGAAAGCUAGGGGAGCAAACAGGAUUAGAUACCCCUGUAGUCCUGUCUCUUAUACA
rnacentral:rRNA from 1 species